rnacentral:snRNA from 1 species
AGCUUUACUCAGUGGCAGCAUCAUAGCCAAUGAGGUUUAUCUGAGGAGCGAUCAUUGCUAACUGAAAAAUUUUCCCACUGUAGAUUAAGUUUGCAUUAUCUAGAGUUUCAUACAAAUGGA